UACGAAGGGGGCUAGCGUUGUUCGGAAUUACUGGGCGUAAAGCGCGCGCAGGCGGUCUUCCAAGUCAGUGGUGAAAGCCCGGAGCUCAACUCCGGAACUGCCAUUGAAACUGUAAGACUUGAGGACGAGAGAGGUGAGUGGAAUUCAUGGUGUAGCAGUGAAAUGCGUAGAGAUCAUGAGGAAGACCAGUGGCGAAGGCGGGUCUCUGGACAGUUCCUGACACUGAGGCACGAAGGCCAGGGGAGCAAACGGG
rnacentral:rRNA from 1 species